CUACCUGCUUAAGCUAUGGCGCGGCCUUUGAGAUAAUAUUGGUGAAUUUGGUGAUAGCACUGGUAUAAUGUUUCACUGUCGACUCUACACUGCAACAUCUCAUUACAUCUGCUCUCCCUUCCUGGUGUAGCUUCUUUGUAUCUGCAAUCUCUCCAGAGUAGCUCAUUCAGGUAAAUCUCCGACUGUUAUCUUGGUUGCUGGCAAAAACGAAGGAAAACUGCGCAGUAGGGAUUCCCAAAACCGAUUAUUCAUGAAUUAUGUGAUUAUAAUUGCUUAGUGAUUGUCUCACACGAGAGAAACUCAUCCACUUUAUAAAAACAAUGAUCGAGUAGGUAAGUUAUCAAAGCGUUUUUGAACUUAUAUAUAGUACUGUUAUUUCUGUAAUAUAUCGUGGCAGAUGAUUUAGCAGUCGAAGUCCUAACCGUCCUAACCGUCCUAACCAAUGGUCAGUGAAUUAAUAUUAUUCAAAUAUUCAAAUUAUUCACCUUUGCCAAUCCGUGUCAUCUGUGUCCCUUGGAGCACAUUCAAAAUGAUAUAAUAUGGAUCUUGUGGUCAUCUUGCGUUCCCUAUUUCACCUAGUUCACAAUUUCAUAUUGUAGAAGACACUCUGCAGCCGACCAAGUGACCAAGAGGACCGAGAGUGAAGAGAAAUUCGUUGAAAUGAUGGCUGAAUAAAGCUGGUCAUCAGUACCCGAGGAUGUGAUGGAGUGUUUUCUAAACUUGGAAGACAUAUUGGAUGAUGUUCGGCUUCUGUCUGCUGCAAGUGCAGCGGAGGCACAAGUACUGGCAUUACAGCAUCCAAAACUUCAUUUAACACCCGAAGAGAAACGACUUCUUAAAAAAAGGUGUCAGACCGUCUUCUCAUUAUCCUGUCACACAAGAUGAAGAGCAUGAACUUAAAGAGAUUAGAAGAAAAAUCUGUAGUAUGAUAUCAGCACAGGAUUCACGCAAGAGAAAGAAGGAAUACAUAGGUUGCUUGGAAGAGAGGAGGCCACUUGACAUCACUGGCCGACUUCCUCUAAUAUGAG